rnacentral:rRNA from 1 species
CUACGGGAGGCAGCAGUAGGGAAUCUUCGGCAAUGGACGAAAGUCUGACCGAGCAACGCCGCGUGUAGUGAAGAAGGUUUUCGGCAUCGUAAAACUCCUGUUGUUAGAGAAGCAACAAGGAUGAGAGUAAAAUGUUCNGGCCCUUGACGGUAUC